rnacentral:rRNA from 1 species
AGUGAACGCUGGCGGUAGGCCUAACACAUGCAAGUCGAACGGCAGCACAGUAAGAGCUUGCUCUUACGGGUGGCGAGUGGCGGACGGGUGAGGAAUACAUCGGAAUCUACUUUUUCGUGGGGGAUAACGUAGGGAAACUUACGCUAAUACCGCAUACGACCUACGGGUGAAAGCAGGGGAUCUUCGGACCUUGCGCGAUUGAAUGAGCCGAUGUCGGAUUAGCUAGUUGGCGGGGUAAAGGCCCACCAAGGCGACGAUCCGUAGCUGGUCUGAGAGGAUGAUCAGCCACACUGGAACUGAGACACGGUCCAGACUCCUACGGGAGGCAGCAGUGGGGAAUAUUGGACAAUGGGCGGAAGCCCGAACCAGCCAUCCCGCGUGGGUGAAGAAGGCCUUCGGGUUGGAAAGCCCUUUUUUUGGGGAAGAAAAGAAGGAGGUUGAUACCCUGCUGUUCUGACGGUAACCAAAGAAUAAGCCCCGGCUAACUUCGUG